UACGUAGGUGACAAGCGUUGUCCGGAUUUACUGGGCGUAAAGAGCGCGCAGGCGGUCGUUCAAGUCGAGUGUGAAAGCCCCCGGCUCAACUGGGGAGGGUCAUUCGAUACUGAUCGACUCGAAGGCAGGAGAGGGUAGUGGAAUUCCCGGUGUAGUGGUGAAAUGCGUAGAUAUCGGGAGGAACACCAGUGGCGAAAGCGGCGACCUGGACAGGCACUGACACUCAACUACGAAAGCGUGGGGAGCAAACAGG
rnacentral:rRNA from 1 species